UGAGAGCCUUUAUUUCAUUGGAAAAGGAAUGGACACUUUUUGUAAGUGCUUAAAAAAGGUAACAAAAAAAGGCACAAUGUGCUAUGUGAAGCCACAAGAAGAAAAGAUCAUUUUCACCUAGGUGAAUCAGGGAAUACUUCUUGAAGAACGUGCUAUUUGAGCUAGGACUAGAAGGAUUCUUAAGGUAGAGAUGGAUAGGAAACAAGAGCCUGCACUGCCAUGGUAGCUGCCAUGAAAACAAACAAACAAAACAAAACUUGGAACUUUUAGAUAGUCUGUUGUUUCGGAAAUGGAGAAAGAGAAGAAACUGAAAGACAGCUUAGUGAAGCCAAAUCCAGAGCAAAAUGCUAUGCAAGGCCAACCUGCUUCUAAAAUUUCUUGAUCCAUUCUGUUGCUUGAAUUUAUUCUCUUUAAAUACUGCCUGUGAUUGCACUAAUUAAAAAUUAAUUUGUUUU